GAUGAAGAACGCAGCGAAAUGCGAUAACUAAUGUGAAUUGCAGAAUUCCGUGAAUCAUCGAGUCUUUGAACGCACAUUGCGCCCCCUGGUAUUCCGGGGGGCAUGCCUGUCCGUGCGUCAUUGCUGCCCAUCAAGCACGGCUUGUGUGUUGGGUCCUCGUCCCCCCCGGGGGACGUGCCCGAAAGGCAGCGGCGGCACCGCGUCCGGUCCUCGAGCGUAUGGGGCUUUGUCACCCGCUCUGCAGGCCCGGCCGGCGCUGGCCGACGCGAAAGCAACCAUUUUUUCUCCAGGUUGACCUCGGAUCAGGUAGGGAUACCCGCUGAACUUAAGCAUAUCAAUAAGCGGAGGA
rnacentral:misc_RNA from 1 species